CUACAAUAUACUCUGUUUUUCAGACAAGCCACCAUGCUGUAAUUUUAGUAUCCUAUAUCUAUUCACUAGCUAGCAAUGGGUAGCAAUUGAGGUGAGGGGAAGGGGUCUGGCUCUCUCUUCUAUUUGGUUUUUGGGAUUUGGGGAUUGGAGACUUGGGAGUUUAGAUUUUUCAGAAGGGGUGCCCACGAAGGCACUUCAGUUGAUAU